ACAUGCAACCUUCGUAGAAAAGUUUGACACAACAUGCUCCGCCGUCGCCAUCGCCAGGAACCGCCGCCUCGAGCCUUGCCCGAGCACAUCUUUGCACACCUGCAGGCGCGAUACCUCGAGACCGAUGAUGACUCGAUGAUCAUCUACCUUGUCGAAGACCCGUUGGUGUCUGCAAAGGAACCAGAUGACGGAGCCCCUGAGACCGUUGCCACCGCCGCCGACUACUACUACCCCGAGGGUGCCUAAUACCACGUGACAGACGCCGAUGACCAAGAGUAGUUAGGAGGAUCCCAGGCAGGAGGCCUUGCCUUUUUGAUCGAUGUUGCUUCUGUGCUAGCCUUCUGAAGGCAAGCUUGUUUAACUCAUGUCUGUACUCAGAUAUUGUUGCUUCCACUGACUCGUUUGUAUUCGAACUGAUGUAUUCGAGCCCUCGAG